rnacentral:ncRNA from 1 species
GUCGUGAGACAUGGGAUGAAAGAAGUGCGUAGCAAAUAGACUGGGUAACGAAUAGAAACUUGAUAUUAAGGCGUUUCCUUGGGUGGUGUUGGUUCCAAACAACCUAAAACCACGUGCAAUCGUAAAUUGGAGCGUAAAUCAAGUACUCAAGUCUUGAAAGAUAU